rnacentral:rRNA from 1 species
CAGUAGCCGCGGGAAUACGAAGGGGGCUAGCGUUGUUCGGAUUUACUGGGCGUAAAGGGCGCGUAGGCGGACUGAUAAGUCAGGGGUGAAAUCCCAAGGCUCAACCUUGGAACUGCCUUUGAUACUGUUUGUCUUGAGUUCGAGAGAGGUAAGUGGAACUGCGAGUGUAGAGGUGAAAUUCGUAGAUAUUCGCAAGAACACCAGUGGCGAAGGCGGCUUACUGGCUCGAAACUGACGCUGAGGCGCGAAAGCGUGGGGAGCAAACAGGAUUAGAGACCCCUGUAGUCCCUGUCUCUUAUAC